UUCCAGACUCCUACGGGAGGCAGCAGUGGGGAAUAUUGGGCAAUGGGCGCAAGCCUGACCCAGCAACGCCGCGUGAAGGAAGAAGGCCCUCGGGUUGUAAACUUCUUUUAUUCGGGACGAAACAAAUGACGGUACCGAAUGAAUAAGCCACGGCUAACUACGUGCCAGCAGCCGCUGUAAUACGUAGGUGGCAAGCGUUAUCCGGAUUUACUGGGUGUAAAGGGCGCGUAGGCGGGAUGGCAAGUCAGAUGUGAAAUCCAGGGGCUCAACCCCUGAACUGCAUUUGAAACUGUCGUUCUUGAGUACUGGAGAGGUUGACGGAAUUCCUAGUGUAGCGGUGAAAUGCGUAGAUAUUAGGAGGAACACCAGUGGCGAAGGCGGUCAACUGGACAGCAACUGACGCUGAGGCGCGAAAGCGUGGGGAGCAAACAGGAUUAGAUACCCUGGUAAU
rnacentral:rRNA from 1 species